rnacentral:rRNA from 1 species
CCCAGACUCCUACGGGAGGCAGCAGUGAGGAAUAUUGGUCAAUGGGCGGGAGCCUGAACCAGCCAAGUCGCGUGAGGGAGUACUGCCCUAUGGGUUGUAAACCUCUUUUGUCGGGGAGCAAAAGCCGGACGUGUCCGGCUGUGAGAGUACCCGAAGAAAAAGCAUCGGCUAACUCCGUGCCAGCAGCCGCGGUAAUACGGAGGAUGCGAGCGUUAUCCGGAUUUAUUGGGUUUAAAGGGUGCGUAGGCGGCCGCUUAAGUCAGCGGUAAAAUUGCGGGGCUCAACCUCGUCGAGCCGUUGAAACUGGGUGCCUUGAGUGGGCGAGAAGUACGCGGAAUGCGUGGUGUAGCGGUGAAAUGCAUAGAUAUCACGCAGAACUCCGAUUGCGAAGGCAGCAUACCGGCGCCCAACUGACGCUGAAGCACGAAAGCGUGGGUAUCGAACAGGAUUAGAUACCCCCGUAUCG